AAUAUUCUAGUAGCUUAACCCACUAAAGC
rnacentral:tRNA from 4 species